ensembl:lncRNA
GUGUAUUUUACACCAAUACCACACCGGGGAUCAUUAGCGUCAUCAUGCGCAUGCCCAGAACCACUAGGUAGCAAAAUCAGGAAGCAGAAAUUGGCAGAACGCGUGUUCGUCAAAAAGCUCUAGAAUAUUUAGUUGCCGGUAGAAUUGUUCGGGAUUUAGUUGUUGAGCGAACCUUGUAUUGCAACGGAGAUUUGUUAGUGAACGUGUUAUCUCUGCUCUAUAAGGUGUCCGGCCGCCAUCCCCUAUUCACGUGCUUUUGUGUAUUGGAGAACCUGCUCAGCAAGCUGCAGUCUGCAACUUCUGCGGGAGGUAUGUAAUACUGUUGCAUUUCAGCAAAAGCACAAGGGUGAAAGUCUUUGGUCCCCUUCCACUCCUGAGCAACAACAGCAGUGGCAUCUUCCCCUUCUUUCCCCUAAGGCUGUAGCUGCUCCAAACAAAGAUUGAGGCCACAGAGCGCAACACCCUCCUCACACACUCCCCAGGAUUGGACCCCCCAACUAGGCUCAGAUGGGAAAUCUAAGGAAAUCAAACAACCAUGGUUAAGACCGACGCUCAAUCUACGAUUGCCAGGCUAAUUUCCUCCCAUUCCCGCCAACACUUCACGGUGGGGACCCGCCAGACCUACUGAUACAUGGUCGUUUUCGAUUGAAAUCCUCAAUAAGGUAAGUUAAAGAGCCCAUGCC